rnacentral:rRNA from 1 species
GUGUCAGCAGCCGCGGUAAUACGUAGGGUGCAAGCGUUGUCCGGAAUCAUUGGGCGUAAAGCGCGUGUAGGCGGCUUGGUAAGUCAGCUGUGAAAGCCCAGGGCUCAACCCUGGGAUGCCGGUUGAUACUGCCAAGCUCGAGUCCGGAAGAGGAGUGUGGAAUUCCUGGUGUAGCGGUGAAAUGCGCAGAUAUCAGGAGGAACACCAAUGGCGAAGGCAGCACUCUGGGACGUGACUGACGCUGAGACGCGAAAGCGUGGGGAGCAAACAGGAUUAGAUACCCCGGUAGUCC